GCGUGAGUGAAGAAGGCCUUCGGGUCGUAAAGCUCUGUCAGGUGGGAAGAAAAUGCCCGGGUCAUGCCGGGCCUUGACCGCCACCAAAGGAAGCACCGGCUAACUCCGUGCCAGCAGCCGCGGUAAUACGGAGGGUGCAAGCGUUGUCCGGAAUCAUUGGGCGUAAAGGGCGUGUAGGCGGCCCAUCAAGUCUGGUGUGAAAGCCCCCGGCUCAACCGGGGAAGUGCAUUGGAAACUGUUGGGCUUGAGUGCGGGAGAGGAAGGUGGAAUUCCCAGUGUAGCGGUGAAAUGCGU
rnacentral:rRNA from 1 species